AGUGAGCUACAAGAUUUACAGCUUUCUUAUAGCAUCAGUUUAAACAAAGGUGCAAACAACAAGAGAAGCUUGUAGCCUUUGGGGGUUAUAGCUCUGCCUUUCAAAGUGAAUCUGGGUGUUCUACACCC